UAAAACUGAACCAUAAUCCUAAGCCUCUUAAAGUGAAUUUUCUGAAAUUCCCUGAUUGCAUCACAUAACCUAGUUAAUAAACUUUUGGGCAGCUCUCCUUUUAUGGCUUCCUUAUUGAGUCAAGGGGAUCAGAACUUUAUAAAGUUAAGCACAUUCUUUUCCUCCCAAGAAUGCUUUUCAAGGACAAAAUUGUAAAAUCAAAGAGCCAAAGAGGACAAUAUUUUAAAGUAUGCAUAUGAUUGUAAGUUCGAUUUGUAUUGAUUUGUGAUCUUAUUAUCUGAACUUUUAGACGCAAAUAGUAUAAAUAGGAAUUGUUGUCCCACAUUAAUUUGGGAUAAGGUGUUUAUACUGCAUAUGAGAUUUGAAUAAACCUUCUUCUAUUGAGUUAAUUUUUGGAGUGGAGUUUCUCUACAUACUAUUAGAGUUUGCUCUACUUCAAUAUUAUGUUACCUGCAGAUGUGUUUGCUCGCAAGCUUCACGCUCUAGAUGUUUAUACUUGUAUGUGAGGGGGGUAUCUCACAUUGAUAUGGAAUAAGGUGUUUGUGCAAUAUAUAAUAUUUGGACAAAUCUCUUUUCCUUAAGCCAUAGUUAUCAAAGACUCAAGGCGCACCAAGGCGCCAAUGUGUCCUAGAGCCUAGGCGCAAGGAGCAGGUGUGCGCCUGAGCCAGGCAAGGUGCAAAAAUUAAAAAAUAUAUAUAUUAAAAAAA
rnacentral:misc_RNA from 1 species